rnacentral:lncRNA from 1 species
CGACGUUUGAAAUACAAUUAAGCCUUUUAAUCAAUGAAAAAGCUAUUUCUACAGCAAUACGCUAAUAUACUAAAAACCAUGCAAUAUUUGAAAAACACACGUUUGCCAUUAUUUAGCUUAAUUACACAGAUCAGACACGACUAGCCAAAGUUACGAACAAGAUCAAGUACCAUUUGAGUUAUCCGUUACUUGUAUUUAAAUUCUAUGCAUAUACAGGGUAUUAUUUUUCGGUCAAUCUUAAAUGCGCGCGAUUUAAUUUCACCCAGCUAAAACGAAAUAUAACUUAGGCCCGUUUUAAUGGCACAAAACUGGAGAAUUUUUUUUAAAUUAAAAUCCGCAUGACAGAACUAUAUUAAUUAAGAACAUUUAAAUGGUUUUCCUUGGAUUUCUUUGUUUCGAGCUAUAAGCUGUUAUUGUUAAUAAACCUGCCAAAAAAUAUUGCAGUGUCAGCUAUUUUGGACAUUUUCAAUCGUAUAGAACUCUACACAGACUUAGAAAAUCAGGUAUUUUAUCGAUGUAAUUUGAUUUGCCAUAUGCGAACUAGAAAAUUCAAUAGUUUUUGAGAUAAUAAAAAUCAAUUGUCAUUUCCAAAGCAUGACUCACUCAAAUAUUGGAGACUAAAAAGCAACGUCGACAGUCCUAUGACUAUGUCAAUAUUAAAUUAUGUAAAUCAAUCAGAGUUAAUACUAUCUUGAUCAUUUUCCAAUUUUUCAGGAGACAAUGCAUGGUGUCUUCAAAGAAAGUACAAGUGCAGACAACAUGAAAGUUUAGACUGCAGAAAAUUGGCCAAGCAGUUAUUAAACUCAUGUCACAGAAAUGGUAAAGGACAUGUGUGACAACUGAACGGGUAUCCUUUUGUAAAGUUUUUGGCCAGGGGUGGGUAUUUAUUUUUUAAUUGAUAUUUGAAGUUAGGUAAAAUUUUUUUAAACUUUUUAAUGGUUGAAUCAACAAAAUUUUUGCCAAGAAAUAUAAUUUCAACCCAAUUUCGUUAUAUAAUCGCUUCAGCUCGGCAAAAGUUGUUGAAAAAGACCAGUCCAGCUUUAAAUUCAUACACCUAUAUGAUCUGCGCGAAUUAAUACCGCACGGGAAGUUAAAUACAAGAUAUAUAAAUUAAUUACAUAAAGUUACAUUCUAGAAUAAACAUUUACCAAUAUAAGGUAUAUG